GGAACUAGGGGUGCUUCCAUCUGGAAGAAUCUGGAGACAGGUGCUGCAUGGCGUGUCGUCAGCUCGUGUCGUGAGAUGUUGGGUUAAGUCCCGCAACGAGCGCAACCCUUGCCUUUAGUUGCCAGCAGUUCGGCUGGGCACUCUAAAGGGACUGCCGGUGUUAAACCGGAGGAAGGUGGGGAUGACGUCAAGUCCUCAUGGCCUUUAUGACCAGGGCUACACACGUACUACAAUGGCCGAUACAAAGGGCAGCGACACUGCGAGGUGAAGCCAAUCCCGUAAAAUCGGUCUCAGUCCGGAUUGGAGUCUGCAACUCGACUCCAUGAAGUUGGAAUCGCUAGUAAUCGUGGAUCAGCAUGCCACGGUGAAUACGUUCCCGGGCCUU
rnacentral:rRNA from 1 species